rnacentral:lncRNA from 1 species
CAGCACUGGGCCAGACAAUUCUCCAUGCCCUACAGGACAGGUAAGAUCGCCCCAACCCACACCCACCAGGCUGCAACAGCAAGCAGGAAGGUGACAGAAUCGGGCCAGGACGGGAGUCAACCGUUGCAUCAGGAUGACGGGGCACGGACAGCCUUGGUGAGUCGCUAGAGACCCUCGGGCACAGAGGCAGGGGCUGCCCAUGGUCACAGGGGGAUGCUGCUCCCUUUGGUGUUUCUUCUCCUUCAGCUAGAAACACACAGGGAUGAGACCACACCACAGCAGACUCCUGGCCGCUCUCCGCUUGAGAACCUGUACAGAAAGAAUGCCGACACUCUACCGGACAGGAAGAUCUGGACACACUGACAGCGAGCAAAUGAAGCCAUGGCACACUCCUGGCCUCUCCCUUUGAGAAGUCAUCUAGAAAUGUGUCAGCGUUCUCCAGGACAGGUAAGAUAGCCCCAACCCACACCC